GGGGUUGUGGCUCAGAGGUAGAGCGUUCACCUACCAUGCGUAAGGCACUGGGUUCGAUUCUCAGCACCA
rfam:Ictidomys tridecemlineatus contig093616, whole genome shotgun sequence.